rnacentral:rRNA from 1 species
GUGGGGAAUAUUGGGCAAUGGGGGAAACCCUGACCCAGCGACGCCGCGUGAGGGAAGAAGGCCUUAGGGUCGUAAACCUCUGUUGUGUGGGAAGAAGAGCGUGACGGUACCACACGAGGAAGUCCCGGCUAACUACGUGCCAGCAGCCGCGGUAAUACGUAGGGGACGAGCGUUGUCCGGAUUUACUGGGCGUAAAGGGCGCGUAGGCGGUCAUUUAAGUCAGCUGUGAAAUGGUUUGGCUUAACCGGAUCAUGCGGUUGAAACUGGAUGGCUGGAGUGCUGGAGAGGCAAGUGGAAUUCCCAGUGUAGCGGUGAAAUGCGUAGAUAUUGGGAAGAACACCGGUGGCGAAGGCGACUUGCUGGCCAGUAACUGACGCUGAGGCGCGAAAGCCAGGGGAGCAAACGGGAUUAGAAACCCUUGUAGUCC